CUCACUUCUACUGAUGUCUUAAUUUUAAGCACCUGAAAAACACCAAACUCACUGAAAGGUAUGACAGUUUGGGAGACCGAACUCCUGUUUAUGCCCAGAACAGGUACAAUGGGCAGUGUCAGGGCAAGUUACCCUCAUGCUGAUCCCAUCCUAUCUGAGGGAGAACCCCCUAAAGAGGUGAGAGGAGAGUUCAGCUUUCAAGGCCCAUUCCUCGUUUGGUCUUUCAGAUGAGACUGGCAGCAGAGGCACAACAUAUGAUGUUCCAUAGAGUAUUCUGGCAUCCACCUGCUGAGGUGUUUUAUAGCCCAUGUUACAGGAAACCUUCCCAUGAUGAAUUCUUGACAGCCACAACUCUCCUGUUGUAUUCUACUCAUCCAGCACAACAGUGGUGACAAGGAAGUAGCAAGAACACUCUUUCCUGCUGUAUUGCUGUAGGGCUUCCUACCUGGAGGUGGAAAGGACCUGUCCUUUAAGAAGUUAUGAGAGGAUGAUGCCUGAAAAGAAAGUCUGGUACACAGGCUGCAUGGAGUUAUGUGGUACCUCCACUCUAUGCCCCAAAAGGAAAUUACUCUAAUGUAAUUGAGCACCAGUGGCUACAAGCUGUGAGGGCUCUCCACUACCC